rnacentral:rRNA from 1 species
CCGUUCGACGAUUUUCCGGUUGAUCCUGCCAGAGGCCAUUGCUAUCAGGGUUUGACUAAGCCAUGCGAGUCGAGAGGUGUAAGACCUCGGCAUACUGCUCAGUAACACGUGGUUAACCUGCCCUAAGGUGGAGCAUACUCCCGGGAAACUGGGGCUAAUACUCCAUAGUGGAUAUAUCCUGGAAUGGUAUAUCCUCGAAAGAUCCGUCGCCUUAGGAUGGGACUGCGUCCGAUUAGGUUGUUGGCGGGGUAACGGCCCACCAAGCCUUUGAUCGGUACGGGUUGUGGGAGCAAGAUCCCGGAGAUGGAUUCUGAGACAUGAAUCCAGGCCCUACGGGGCGCAGCAGGCGCGCAAACUUUACAAUGCGAGCAAUCGUGAUAAGGAAACCCUGAGUGCCUGUCGAUGCAGGCUGUUCAUAUAUCUAAAUCAUAUGUGAAGAAAGGGCAGGGCAAGACCGGUGCCAGCCGCCGCGGUAAUACCGGCUGCUCGAGUGAUGGCCACUAUUACUGGGUUUAAAGCGUCCGUAGCUUGACUGUUAGGUCUCUUGGGAAAUCUUCACGCUCAACGUGAAGGCGUCUAAGAGAUACCGGCAGUCUUGGAACUGGGAGAGGUAAACCGUACUUCGGGGGUAGGAGUGAAAUCUUGUAAUCCUCGAGGGACGACCUAUGGCGAAGGCAGUUUACCAGAACAGCUUCGACAGUGAGGGACGAAAGCUGGGGGAGCAAACGGGAUUAGAUACCCCGGUAGUCCCAGCCGUAAACAAUGUGCGUUAGGUGUGUCGGUAACCACGUGUUACUGAUGCGCCGAAGAGAAAUCGUGAAACGCACCACCUGGGAAGUACGGUCGCAAGGCUGAAACUUAAAGGAAUUGGCGGGGGGGCAC